rnacentral:rRNA from 1 species
UACGUAGGGUGCUAGCGUUGUUCGGAUUUACUGGGCGUAAAGGGCGCGCAGGCGGCUCAUUUUGUCAGGCGUGAAAGCCCCGGGCUUAACCUGGGAACUGCGUUUGAGACGGAUGGGCUAGAGUUCGGGAGAGGAGAGUGGAAUUCCCAGUGUAGAGGUGAAAUUCGUAGAUAUUGGGAAGAACACCGGUGGCGAAGGCGGCUCUCUGGACCGAUACUGACGCUGAGGCGCGAAAGCGUGGGGAGCAAAAAGG